UACGUAGGGGGCAAGCGUUGUCCGGAAUCAUUGGGCGUAAAGAGCGUGUAGGCGGUUCGGUAAGUCGGCUGUGAAAGUCCAGGGCUCAACCCUGGGAUGCCGGUCGAUACUGCCGGACUAGAGUUCGGAAGAGGCGAGUGGAAUUCCCGGUGUAGCGGUGAAAUGCGCAGAUAUCGGGAGGAACACCAAUUGCGAAGGCAGCUCGCUGGGACGUAACUGACGCUGAGACGCGAAAGCGUGGGGAGCAAACAGG
rnacentral:rRNA from 1 species